AUAUUGAAAGUUAAAAUAGGUGCUAAAAUUCUCGUGAUAGAAUCUUAGCUUAAUAGGGAAGUUUGGUGAAAAUCCAACGCGGUCCCGCCACUGUAAAUGGGAGCAACCUACAGUAUGUCACUGUCUUAAUGAUGGGAAGACGUAGGAAGCUAUGACCAUGAGCCAGGAAACCUGCCUAUUUUAUUUUUUCACC
rnacentral:ncRNA from 2 species